rfam:Triticum aestivum genome assembly, contig: Triticum_aestivum_CS42_TGACv1_scaffold_542735_6DS
GUUGUACUCCCUCCUUUCGAAAAAACUUAUCCCAAACCUGUUCCUCAAAUGGAUGUAUUUAACAUUAACUUAGUGCUAGAUACAUUUAUUUGGGAUAAAUUUUUUCGAACGAAGGGAGUACUAU